rnacentral:rRNA from 1 species
CUGAGUCUAAACCGCGAUAAGUGAGGAUUUCUGGAAUGGUUCCUGACUAAAAUCUAUAUGGCCUCUGGAUUGGACUGCGGCCGAUCAGGCUGUUGGUGAGGUAAUGGCCCACCAAACCUGUAACCGGUACGGGCUCUGAGAGGAGGAGCCCGGAGAUGGGCACUGAGACAAGGGCCCAGGCCCUAUGGGGCGCAGCAGGCGCGAAACCUCUGCAAUAGGCGAAAGCCUGACAGGGUUACUCUGAGUGACUUUCGCUAAGAAAGUCUUUUGGCACCUCUAAAAAGGGUGCAGAAUAAGGGGUGGGCAAGUCUGGUGUCAGCCGCCGCGGUAAUACCAGCACCCCGAGUGGUCGGGACGAUUAUUGGGCCUAAAGCAUCCGUAGCCGGUUCUGCAAGUCCCCCGUUAAAUCCAGCUGCUCAACAGAUGGGCCGCGGAGGAUACUACAGAGCUAGGAGGCAGGAGAGGCAAGCGGUACUCAGUGGGUAGGGGUAAAAUCCGUUGAUCCAUUGAAGACCACCAGUGGCGAAGGCGGCUUGCCAGAAUGCGCUCGACGGUGAGGGAUGAAAGCUGGGGGAGCAAACCGGAUUAGAUACCCGGGUAGUCCCAGCCGUAAACGAUGCAGACUCGGUGAUGGGUUGGCUUCGCGCUAACCCAGUGCCGC